rnacentral:rRNA from 1 species
AGCGAACGCUGGCGGCAGGCCUAACACAUGCAAGUCGAACGAACCUUCGGGUCAGUGGCGGACGGGUGAGUAACACGUGGGAACGUGCCUUUUGGUUCGGAACAACUCAGGGAAACUUGAGCUAAUACCGAAUGUGCCCUUCGGGGGAAAGAUUUAUCGCCAUUAGAGCGGCCCGCGUCUGAUUAGCUUGUUGGUGAGGUAAAGGCUCACCAAGGCUACGAUCAGUAGCUGGUCUGAGAGGAUGAUCAGCCACAUUGGGACUGAGACACGGCCCAAACUCCUACGGGAGGCAGCAGUGGGGAAUCUUGCGCAAUGGGCGAAAGCCUGACGCAGCCAUGCCGCGUGAAUGAUGAAGGUCUUAGGAUUGUAAAAUUCUUUCACCGGGGACGAUAAUGACGGUACCCGGAGAAGAAGCCCCGGCUAACUUCGUGCCAGCCGCCGCGGUAAGAC